rnacentral:tRNA from 1 species
GCGGAAUUAGUAUAAUGGCAGUACAUGACCUUCCCAAGGUUAGGGCGUCGGUUCGAUUCCGUCAUUCCGUUCCA